AUCACUCUUUACCCACUCUCACUCUCUUCACCAAGGACCCCUGCCCUCUGUGUGACGAUGCCAAAGAAGAGCUGGAACCGCUCAAACACCGGUUUGUGCUGCAGCAGGUGGACAUCACCCUCCCAGAGAACCAGGUGUGGUGGGAGCGCUACAGGUACGACAUCCCCG